GUCGCCUCUCCGUGUUGUCUUGCACGUACGCAAGUCACCCCUGUAGGACACCAGUUGGUCCGUGCUCUCUCUUUUCAGAUACAAACGCAUUACUUGAAACCUGAAAAGAUGGAUUUUUGCCUAAGAGGUGAUACCGGGAAUCCAGCGGCAGUGCAAGCUAAACCCUCAACUCUCCAGCUCCGUCUGGAUCCUGAUCCAUAGCCUGCAGUCAGUCCUCGGGGAGCAGCGGUGCCCUGGCUGGGCCAAUGGCAGCUACUUUGAGGGGAAGGGGGGCUUGAGGCCGCGGGAUGGGUCCAGGGUGAAGGGACAGCUCCUGAAGCUCGGUGGUCACUGCCUCGCUAUGAGGGCUCCGGGC